ACGAACGCUGGCGGCGUGCUUAACACAUGCAAGUCGAGCGGUAAGGCCCUUCGGGGUACACGAGCGGCGAACGGGUGAGUAACACGUGGGUGACCUGCCUCGCACUUCGGGAUAAGCCUGGGAAACUGGGUCUAAUACCGGAUAUGACCUCCGGCUUCAUGGUUGGUGGUGGAAAGAUUUAUCGGUGUGAGAUGGGCCCGCGGCCUAUCAGCUUGUUGGUGGGGUAACGGCCUACCAAGGCGACGACGGGUAGCCG
rnacentral:rRNA from 1 species